AUUGCAGGCUGCAACCCGCCUGCAUGAAGUCGGAAUUGCUAGUAAUCGCGGAUCAGCAUGCCGCGGUGAAUACGUUCCCGGGCCUUGUACACACCGCCCGUCACACCAUGGGAGCCGGUAAUACCCGAAGGUCAGUAGUCCAACCUCGUGAGGACGCUGCCGAAGGUAGGAUUGGCGACUGGGGUGAAGUCGUAACAAGGUACC
rnacentral:rRNA from 1 species